UACGUAGGGGACGAGCGUUGUUCGGAAUUACUGGGCGUAAAGGGCGCGCAGGCUGUAGAUCAAGUCAGCUGUGAAAUGUCUGGGCUUAACCCGGGCAUGCGGUUGAAACUGAUGUACUGGAGUGCUGUAGAGGCAAGUGGAAUUCCCAGUGUAGCGGUGAAAUGCGUAGAUAUUGGGAAGAACACCGGUGGCAAAGGCGACUUGCUGGGCAGCAACUGACGCUGAGGCGCGAAAGCCAGGGGAGCAAACGGGAUUAGA
rnacentral:rRNA from 1 species